AGGAUCAUUGUUGGAUUAUUUAUUUUGAGGGGGUUGUAGNUGGUCUUUGAAAAAUGACAUGUGCACACCUCUAUCAAAACAUCACACCCCUGUGCACAUUUUGUAGACUUUUUUGUCUAUGUUUUUCAAUAUACACCUUAUAAAAAGUUNUAGAAUGUUGGCAAUAAUAAAUAAUAUAACUUUCAACAACGGAUCUCUUGGCUCUCGCAUCGAUGAAGAACGCAGCGAAACGCGAUAAGUAAUGUGAAUUGCAGAAUUCAGUGAAUCAUCGAAUCUUUGAACGCACCUUGCGCACUUUGGUAUUCCAAAGUGCAUGCCUGUUUGAGUGUCAUUAAAUCAUCAAUCACUUAUCUUUUUAAGAAAGGUGAAUUGGACUUGGAGUUUUGCUGGCUAUCAAAUUCAGCUACUCUNAAAUGCAUUAGCGUGUACACUUUGUGGAUAGGCUUUGGUUUGAUAAAUAUCUAUGCCAUUGCUGUGAAGCAAGAAGUCAGCUACCAAUAAGUUCAUUUUUUUUUGAACAUUUUGACCUUUGACCUCAAAUCAGGUAGGACUACCCGCUGAACUUAAGCAUAUCAAUAAGCGGA
rnacentral:rRNA from 1 species